rnacentral:rRNA from 2 species
CGUUGAUUUCACACUGCCGAGAAAAGCCUCUAGAUAGAAAAUAGGUGCCCGUACCGCAAACCGACACAGGUAGUCAAGAUGAGAAUUCUAAGGUGAGCGAGCGAACUCUCGUUAAGGAACUCGGCAAAAUGACCCCGUAACUUCGGGAGAAGGGGUGCUCUUUAGGGUUAACGCCCAGAAGAGCCGCAGUGAAUAGGCCCAAGCGACUGUUUAUCAAAAACACAGGUCUCUGCUAAACCGUAAGGUGAUGUAUAGGGGCUGACGCCUGCCCGGUGCUGGAAGGUUAAGAGGAGUGGUUAGCUUCUGCGAAGCUACGAAUCGAAGCCCCAGUAAACGGCGGCCGUAACUAUAACGGUCCUAAGGUAGCGAAAUUCCUUGUCGGGUAAGUUCCGACCCGCACGAAAGGCGUAACGAUUUGGGCACUGUCUCAACGAGAGACUCGGUGAAAUCAUAGUACCUGUGAAGAUGCAGGUUACCCGCGACAGGACGGAAAGACCCCGUGGAGCUUUACUGUAGCCUGAUAUUGAAAUUCGGCACAGCUUGUACAGGAUAGGUAGGAGCCUUUGAAACGUGAGCGCUAGCUUACGUGGAGGCGCUGGUGGGAUACUACCCUAGCUGUGUUGGCUUUCUAACCCGCACCACUUAUCGUGGUGGGAGACAGUGUCAGGCGGGCAGUUUGACUGGGGCGGUCGCCUCCUAAAAGGUAACGGAGGCGCUCAAAGGUUCCCUCAGAAUGGUUGGAAAUCAUUCAUAGAGUGUAAAGGCAUAAGGGAGCUUGACUGCGAGACCUACAAGUCGAGCAGGGUCGAAAGACGGACUUAGUGAUCCGGUGGUUCCGCAUGGAAGGGCCAUCGCUCAACGGAUAAAAGCUACCCCGGGGAUAACAGGCUUAUCUCCCCCAAGAGUUCACAUCGACGGGGAGGUUUGGCACCUCGAUGUCGGCUCAUCGCAUCCUGGGGCUGUAGUCGGUCCCAAGGGUUGGGCUGUUCGCCCAUUAAAGCGGUACGCGAGCUGGGUUCAGAACGUCGUGAGACAGUUCGGUCCCUAUCCGUCGUGGGCGUAGGAAAUUUGAGAGGAGCUGUCCUUAGUACGAGAGGACCGGGAUGGACAUACCUCUGGUGUACCAGUUGUCGUGCCAACGGCAUAGCUGGGUAGCUAUGUGUGGACGGGAUAAGUGCUGAAAGCAUCUAAGCAUGAAGCCCCCCUCAAGAUGAGAUUUCCCAACUUCGGUUAUAAGAUCCCUCAAAGAUGAUGAGGUUAAUAGGUUCGAGGUGGAAGCAUGGUGACAUGUGGAGCUGACGAAUACUAAUCGAUCGAAGACUUAAUCAA